UAACAUGACCAAUUUGUUGAUCAAUUUUAUACUUUUUACUAUUUAUGCAAUUUUAUUAUUUAUCACCUGACCUAAAAACAACGUCUAGAUGUUUAAAAAAAUCAUUCAAUCAUUGUAGACUCUGACGUUUUAUCUUUGACAAAAUUGAACUACAUUACUAAGUGUUUGGAAUUUAUGAUAUUUGUUUAUAACAAUCAGAAGAGAUCCGAGUGCACCGGAACGCUAAUAACAACCAAUUUCGUCCUAACUUACUAAAAAAAAAGGCGGUUUGGUCGAACAUGAUGCCAAGUGUAAUAAGCCAGAAAACGGAUCGGACAUCUUCACAAUUGUCCUCGUGGGCAAAAUCGAAGCAAACUACACUCACUGCCACUAAAAGCCAAAAGUGGUGCGCCCGUGAGACUCGGCUCAUAAGGUUGAGCAUGGAUGUCUAGACAUAUUAUGUUAUGGGUGAAAUAGGUGGCGUAGGAUUUCGACGUUUCGUUAACGUUAAUCCACCUGAAGUAGAAGUCGCCGGAAUACUCAUCUUGUUCAAGGCUGCGGGUCAUCUCUGAGGAAUGGAUAGUCCGCUUCUAUUGUAUCCACGUAGUUAAAUUUAAGCAUAUGGAAUGCGACAGACUUCACGUUCCUUUCCUGGCUAUAAGGGUUGCUGUAUACAUCUAACACCAGUUUCCAAUUCGACCACGUCUGCGGUGUUUUGCAGUAAGUGAGGACGAACUUGGGUGUUAUUAGCGUUCCGGUGCACUCGGGUCUCUUGUGAUUGUUGUAAACAACGACCAUAAACUCUGAACACUUGGGAUUGUCGUUCAAUUUUGUCAAUGAUGAAAUCUGCACUUGUGUCAAAACUUCAAUUGCUAUAAUAAACAAAAUCAUUUUUAAUA